AGGCAGUCUUGAAAUGCAUAGAAGAGUACAAACUCGAGGAAGAGUUCCCUCCGGAGAACCUCAAGAAGCGGUUGGAACAGCUAGAGAAGACCAAAACCGAGAAGAGAAAACCAGCAGCUGUACCGGCAAACAAGAGAACCAGAGCCAGCUACAACGGUCCAAUGCCACCAGCGAAAGCCGGGCGUAUCACAAACGCUUACGUCUCUUCCUUCCCGUUCAUCAGAUCACCGUCUCACUCCCCUCAGUACGCUUCACCCGCAGCGGCUUACCCAUCACCACCUACUACUGUCUACAGCAACAGGAGCCCACCUUAUCCAUACUCCCCUGAGCUUAUCCCCGCCUCAUACCAAG
rnacentral:lncRNA from 1 species